rnacentral:rRNA from 2 species
GGGACAGAUGAUUAGGGUGAAGUCGUAACAAGGUAGCCGUAGGAGAACCUGCGGCUGGAUCACCUCCUUUCUAAGGAA